AUUGAACGCUGGCGGCAGGCCUAACACAUGCAAGUCGAACGGUAACAGGAAGAAGCUUGCUUCUUUGCUGACGAGUGGCGGACGGGUGAGUAAUGUCUGGGAAACUGCCUGAUGGAGGGGGAUAACUACUGGAAACGGUAGCUAAUACCGCAUAACGUCGCAAGACCAAAAAGGGGGACCUUCGGGCCUCUUGCCAUCGGAUGUGCCCAGAUGGGAUUAGCUAGUAGGUGGGGUAACGGCUCACCUAGGCGACGAUCCCUAGCUGGUCUGAGAGGAUGACCAGCCACACUGGAAGUGAGACACGGUCCAGACUCCUACGGGAGGCAGCAGUGGGGAAUAUUGCACAAUGGGCGCAAGCCUGAUGCAGCCAUGCCGCGUGUAUGAAGAAGGCCUUCGGGUUGUAAAGUACUUUCAGCGGGGAGGAAGGGAGUAAAGUUAAUACCUUGGCUCAUUGACGUUACCCGCAGAAGAAGCACCGGCUAACUCCGUG
rnacentral:rRNA from 1 species